UGGGGAAUAUUGCACAAUGGGCGAAAGCCUGAUGCAGCAACGCCGCGUGAGUGAUGAAGGCCUUCGGGUUGUAAAAGCUCUGUCUUUUGGGACGAUAAUGACGGUACCAAAGGAGGAAGCCACGGCUAACUACGUGCCAGCAGCCGCGGUAAUACGUAGGUGGCAAGCGUUGUCCGGAUUUACGGGCGUAAAGGAUGCGUAGGCGGAUUUUUAAGUGAGAUGUGAAAACCCUAAGCUUAACUUGGGGACUGCAUUUCAUACUGGAAAUCUAGAGUGCGGGAGAGGAGAAUGGAAUUCCUAGUGUAGCGGUGAAAUGCGUAGAGAUUAGGAAGAACACCAGUGGCGAAGGCGAUUCUCUGGACCGUAACUGACGCUGAGGCAUGAAAGCGUGGGUAGCAAACAGGAUUAGAUACCCUGGUAGUCCACGCCGUAAACGAUGAGUACUAGGUGUAGGAGGUAUCGACCCCUUCUGUGCCGCAGUUAACACAAUAAGUACUCCGCCUGGGAAGUACGAUCGCAAGAUUAAAACUUAAAUGAAUUGACGGGGUCAUAGCUG
rnacentral:rRNA from 1 species